UACGUAGGGGGCAAGCGUUGUCCGGAUUUAUUGGGCGUAAAGAGCGUGUAGGCGGCCAUACAGGUCAGCUGUGAAAACUCGAGGCUCAACCUCGAGACGUCGGUUGAAACCGUAUGGCUAGAGUCCGGAAGAGGAGAGUGGAAUUCCCGGUGUAGCGGUGAAAUGCGCAGAUAUCGGGAGGAACACCUGAGGCGAAGGCGGGCUACUGGGCCGAUACUGACGCUGAUGCGCGAAAGCCAGGGGAGCAAACGGG
rnacentral:rRNA from 1 species